rnacentral:rRNA from 1 species
GAUGAACGCUGGCGGCGUGCCUAAUACAUGCAAGUCGAGCGAACAGACGAGGAGCUUGCUCCUCUGACGUUAGCGGUGGACGGGUGAGUAACACGUGGAUAACCUACCUAUAAGACUGGGAUAACUUCGGGAAACCGGAGCUAAAACCGGAUAACAUGUUGAACCGCAUGGUUCAACAGUGAAAGACGGUCUUGCUGUCACUUAUAGAUGGAUCCGCGCCGCAUUAGCUAGUUGGUAAGGUAACGGCUUACCAAGGCAACGAUGCGUAGCCGACCUGAGAGGGUGAUCGGCCACACUGGAACUGAGACACGGGCCAGACUCCUACGGGAGGCAGCAGUAGGGAAUCUUCCGCAAUGGGCGAAAGCCUGACGGAGCAACGCCGCGUGAGUGAAGAAGGUCUUCGGAUCGUAAACUCUGUUAUUAGGGAAGAACAAAUGUGUAAGUAACUAUGCACGUCUUGACGGUACCUAAUCAGAAAGCCACGGCUAACUACGUGCCAGCCGCCGCCGUAA